rnacentral:rRNA from 1 species
GCCUGGGGAGUACGGCCGCAAGGUUAAAACUCAAAGAAAUUGACGGGGGCCCGCACAAGCGGAGGAGCAUGUGGCUUAAUUCGAUGCAACGCGAAGAACCUUACCCAGGUUUGACAUAUACCUGCAAGACCCAUGAAAGUGGGUUUCCUUCGAGGGUGGUAUACAGGUGCUGCAUGGCUGUCGUCAGUUCGUGCCGUGAGGUGUUUGGUUAAGUCCAGCAACGAACGCAACCCCUGUGUCAUGUUGCCAUCAGGUAAUGCUGGGAACUCAUGACAGACUGCCCGUUUACGCGGGAGGAAGGUGGGGAUGACGUCAAGUCAGUAUGGCCCUUACAUCUGGGGCUGCACACGUGCUACAAUGACCGGUACAAAGAGACGCAAGACCGCGAGGUGGAGCAAACCUCCAAAACCGGCCUCAGUUCAGAUUGCAGUCUGCAACCCGACUGCAUGAAGUUGGAUUCGCUAGUAACGGCGUAUCAGCUACGGCGCCGUGAAUACGUUCCCGGGCCUUGUACACACCGCCCGUCACAUCAUGAAAGCCGUCUGCACCCGAUGCCGGUGGCCUAACCCGCAAGGGAGGGAGCCGUCCAAGGUGUGGGUGGUGAUUGGGAUGAAGUCGGGACGAGGUAACCGUA